GGAAGUGUGAGUUUCCCUGGUGGGGGCCACGGUCUUCAAAACCGGUGGACGGUGCGAUAAAGCACGGUCGGUGGGUUCGAUUCCCAUACACUUCCG
rnacentral:tRNA from 1 species